AACGAACGCUGGCGGCGUGCCUGAGACAUGCAAGUCGUGGGAGAAAGUCGGGGCAACUCGGCGAGUAAACCGGCGCACGGGUGAGUAACACGUGGAUAACCUGCCUUUGAGACUGGGAUAACCCGUCGAAAGACGGACUAAUACCAGAUAAGACCACGGGGAGUUCGCUUCCUGGGGUAAAAGGUGGCCUCUGCUCCUGCAAGCUAUCACUCAUUGAGGGGUCCGCGCCCUAUCAGCUAGUUGGUGAGGUAACGGCUCACCAAGGCUAAGACGGGUAGCUGGUCUGAGAGGAUGGUCAGCCACACUGGGACUGAGACACGGCUCAGAGUCCUACGGGAUGCAGCAGUCAGGAAUAUUGCGCAAUGGAGGAAACUCUGACGCAGCGACGCCGCGUGGGUGAUGAAGGCCUUCGGGUCGUAAAGCCCUGUCGGAGGGGAAGAAAAGUUUGCUGGCUAAUAUCCAGCAGACCCUUGACGGUACCCUCAAAGGAAGCACCGGCUAACUCCGUGCCAGCAGCCGCCGUAAUAC
rnacentral:rRNA from 1 species